GCAGCCCCCGCGGAGCAGAGACCUGCCCUGCCGAAAGCUGCUCCCCCCGGCCGGUCCCAGUGCAGCCCCUCUCCCAGAGCCAGGCGGGUCGCAGUCACCCACCAGCCGGCCCUGCUGGCGGGAGCUCCGGAGCAAUAGUAACAGCCGCGGUUCAAGUCCCAGAUACACAUCUUGUGCUAGAUCCAGCGCAGGAGGCCCCUGACUGUAUCCGCACAAACCGUGGGAUGCACCAGUAAACAGCUCUGCCGUGUGGGGCUGCGGUCACUCGGAGCAGACCCUGGGACAUAUCACGACUGAUCUACAAAUACGAAGGAGGCAUCGCAGAGCUCUGCGCCCUGCUCCUGCUCGCCCGUCGAAACGUAACGUUACAGCUGCCGCUCUGUAUCUGCUUCAGCCCUGCGAAAAAAGAGCGUGCCAAAAAAUCACGAUGUUGCUUUUUCGCUAACUCACAGAUGUUUUCCAGGAGGGAUGAAGUGGACUGCUUGGCUGGCACUUUGAAGACACAAAGAGCUAUAUCAAAAGGGUGACUUUGCAGACAAACAUAUCGAUCUAAAACCCGGGUGACACAGACUUCCUGGAAGAGAGCCCAGAAGCAUGUCUGUGUUUAAAGUCAAAUGGCUUGAGCCUUUUACCACUGAUGAAUAAAAAAUGUUUUUCUCUGCAUGCUGAAGGCUUGAGCAGAAGAAAAAAAAUGACUUGAUUUUUUUUCCGCUGGAGGUGCAGCUAGUGGCCUAGGACAACCUGGUGGGAAUUCAUUUUCUGCUCCUGGUCACUGAUGUUGGAAUCAGACAGUGCCGGGAGGUGGAGAAGAUGUGAUGGAGAAGAAUGUAGGAAGAAGGCCUGUUGCACCUAUAGACUAUGGAGCCAGCCCCGAUGAUAAACCUUGAAGCACGGCACCAAAUCCUGGCCAUCAGCCUGUGGGCAGCUCGGUUCCUGCCAGCGCUGUCCGUUCUAGACCACGGCUCGCAGCACAGAAGGCCACCCUCGCUGUGUGGACAGGGCUCCUCCAAAUCCUUGGUCUAACAAGAGUUUCUCCCACAUGUUGGGAUGUCACAAGGGAAGUUGCAAGCUUCACCUUGCUGGGUUUCCUCUCCAAAAAGGCUUCUCUGCAGGAGGGAGCCACUCUGGUCCAGUGACAUGCAUGACUGGAAGCAGCAAUGAGCAGCAGGCCUGCAUAUUCUCGUGGUUCCUCUCCACUCCACCAGUGUUAGGACUUCAGCUUCAGCUUCUUCGUUUACUUGCGUUUCUAAUUACAGAACAAAUGGAAGAAAUAGAGGCUUGGGGCUCGGUUCCGUAAGCAUUAUGUGAGUUUAGAUUAUCCAGCAUGCAAGUAACACUACAGGCACCAACGGAUGAGUGAAGAUGAGUCCGGUGAGGUCUGCACAGCAGGUUUAAGACCUGGAUCCUUUGGAGGGGGGCAGGAGGAAGAAAUGGGACGUGAGGGUGCUUUUAUUUUAAUCUUGGUGUAAAUUAGGGAUAGCUCCCCUGACACCAAUGAAAUCAUUUAUGGUCAGAGCAGUUGCCCUUGUUUCUGAACUUCGGCCAUUCAGCUUCUGCACAUUUAGUGCUCAGCUCUGAAUGGAGAAGCUUCGUUUCCUGUUCAAGAUAAUACCCUAAAUUACAUGACGAUUAUGAAAACAAAGCAUUUGACAAAGUGAGCUUCAGCCCAGAAAGCAUGUGCUUAUUUGUAUAUCUUAUAUAGUUAAUCUAUAUAGGUUCAUCUCUACCCUGCCUUCUGACUGUCUGCAGGCUAACAGGACUAACUAUCUAUGGUAAUAAAGCCAGGAGUCAGAAUUAACCCCAAGACACUAUGUCUCCAGUAGAAAGAGAACCUCAACUAUAGACUCAUUUGUCUUCAAAGUAUUUGAAAGUAAAAAGAAAAACUAAGCAGAAGAUAAAAACCUUGACCAAAUUUCAUUCCUGCACUAACGAUAAUGAUUUCCAUAGGGCAAAAUCAGCAGGGAAUUCGGCCCAACACGACUAACAACCUGGUCCCUGGUUUGUGGGAGCAAUACUUGAAACUGCAGAAUUCAUGUGUAGGACUAAUUUCACUUUAUUGAUGGACAGAAAAAUCUGGAAGAAGCUAAUACAGAAACUGUCUCCUUAGCACACCUGGAAAAUGUGCAGAGAAACUGGCCUAUGUGGUUUGGUUCUGACAAUUUCUUAUAUCAGUGUCUAUAUCCAGACUGCAUCUUUUAGACAUA